UACGUAGGGGGCAAGCGUUGUCCGGAUUUAUUGGGCGUAAAGAGCUCGUAGGCGGUUUGUCGCGUCUGCCGUGAAAACUCGGGGCUUAACUCCGGGCCUGCAGUGGGUACGGGCAGACUAGAGUGCGGUAGGGGAGACUGGAAUUCCUGGUGUAGCGGUGAAAUGCGCAGAUAUCAGGAGGAACACCGGUGGCGAAGGCGGGUCUCUGGGCCGAUACUGACGCUGAGGAGCGAAAGCGUGGGGAGCAAACAGG
rnacentral:rRNA from 1 species